rnacentral:rRNA from 1 species
AAUAGAUACCCUGGUAGUCCUAGCCGUAAACGAUGGGUACUAGGUGUAGGGGGUUUCGAUACCUUCUGUGCCGCAGUUAACGCAUUAAGUACCCCGCCUGGGGAGUACGUGCGCAAGCAUGAAACUCAAAGGAAUUGACGGGGGCCCGCACAAGCGGUGGAGCAUGUGGUUUAAUUCGAAGCAACGCGAAGAACCUUACCAGGUCUUGACAUCCCUUGACAACCUCAGAGAUGAGGCUUCUCUUCGGAGCAAGGAGACAGGUGGUGCAUGGUUGUCGUCAGCUCGUGUCGUGAGAUGUUGGGUCAAGUCCCGCAACGAGCGCAACCCUUGCCUUUAGUUGCCAGCAUUGAGUUGGGCACUCUAGAGGGACUGCCGGUGACAAACCGGAGGAAGGUGGGGAUGACGUCAAAUCAUCAUGCCCCUUAUGAUCUGGGCUACACACGUGCUACAAUGGUCUGUACAGAGGGAUGCGAAGCAGUGAUGUGGAGCGAAUCCCAGAAAAACCNAGAU